rnacentral:rRNA from 1 species
GGUUAAGCGACUAAGCGUACACGGUGGAUGCCCUGGCAGUCAGAGGCGAUGAAGGACGUGCUAAUCUGCGAUAAGCGUCGGUAAGGUGAUAUGAACCGUUAUAACCGGCGAUUUCCGAAUGGGGAAACCCAGUGUGUUUCGACACACUAUCAUUAACUGAAUCCAUAGGUUAAUGAGGCGAACCGGGGGAACUGAAACAUCUAAGUACCCCGAGGAAAAGAAAUCAACCGAGAUUCCCCCAGUAGCGGCGAGCGAACGGGGAGGAGCCCAGAGCCUGAAUCAGUGUGUGUGUUAGUGGAAGCGUCUGGAAAGGCGCGCGAUACAGGGUGACAGCCCCGUACACAAAAAUGC